CAGGAAUGUGCGUUGUGCGUCUGUCCAGUAACAAAGAAACAAGACAGAAAAAGCAGAGGAUGGUUUCUGUUCUUCCUCUCAGCUUGCAGGUGCCCUCACCUCCAGUGGCAUCCAUCCAGACACCAGCACUGACACUGGCCGUGCUCAGAACUGCCUCAGCCCUGAAGACACAACUGACAAAUAGAAGGGGGCUAUGCCCUGUUACAGCAGGUGCUCUCACUUUGUGGGUCCUUAUGUAACUGUGCGUUGUUAUUCAGGAUCGCCCGUUCUACAUUGUAUGACGCUGCUGCGGUGACUCCUAGUUAUUUGUUUCUGAUCUGAGAAGCAGGAGCAAGGAACUAAGGGAGAGAUCCAGGAAGACAUCUGACUCUGUUAAGAGACGACAGUCACAGCGACACGGGGAGUGAAGACACUUGCAGCAAAGCAAAAUGACUUCACAACGAUUCCAUCAGAGCUGCAGGUGUGAGAGAGCCUAAGCCUGUCUUAGAGUGCAGGGGACAAGUGGAAAGGAAUGGUAAAAUUUCCACUGACAAUUGAAAUUUUGUUAAAUAGCCUGCUACUCUUAAUUGUAUCACUUCAUUGUAUGUAGGUGUAUUUCUGUGAGCAUUUAUAGGUUCACACAA